UACAGAGGUCUCAAGCGUUGUUCGGAUUCAUUGGGCGUAAAGGGCGCGUAGGUGGCCUGGUAAGUCGGGUGUGAAAUUUCGGAGCUUAACUCCGAAACUGCAUUCGAUACUGCCGUGCUUGAGGACUGGAGAGGAGACUGGAAUUCCCGGUGUAGCGGUGAAAUGUGUAGAGAUCGGGAGGAACACCGGUGGCGAAGGCGGGUCUCUGGGCAAUUCCUGACGCUGAGGCGCGAAAGCGUGGGGAGCAAACGGG
rnacentral:rRNA from 1 species